UGGGGAAUAUUGCACAAUGGGCGCAAGCCUGAUGCAGCCAUGCCGCGUGUAUGAAGAAGGCCUUCGGGUUGUAAAGUACUUUCAGCGGGGAGGAAGGGAGUAAAGUUAAUACCUUUACUCAUUGACGUUACCCGCAGAAGAAGCACCGGCUAACUCCGUGCCAGCAGCCGCGGUAAUACGGAGGGUGCAAGCGUUAAUCGGAAUUACUGGGCGUAAAGCGCACGCAGGCGGUUUGUUAAGUCAGAUGUGAAAUCCCCGGGCUCAACCUGGGAACUGCAUCUGAUACUGGCAAGCUUGAGUCUCGUAGAGGGGGGUAGAAUUCCAGGUGUAGCGGUGAAAUGCGUAGAGAUCUGGAGGAAUACCGGUGGCGAAGGCGGCCCCCUGGACAAAGACUGACGCUCAGGUGCGAAAGCGUGGGGAGCAAACAGG
rnacentral:rRNA from 1 species